AGCUGAAUGCCAGGCAUCUCAGGCUGUUCUUGGCCAGCUGAAUGCCAGGCAUCUCAGGCUGUUCUUGGCUAGCUGAAUGCCAGGCAUCUCAGGCUGUUCUUGGCCAGCUGAAUGCCAGGCAUCUCAGGCUGUUCUUGGCUAGCUGAAGGCCAGGCAUCUCAGGCUGUUCUUGGCUAGCUGAAGGCCAGGCAUCUCAGGCUGUUCUUGGCUAGCUGAAGGCCAGGCAUCUCAGGCUGUUCUUGGCCAGCUGAAGGCCAGGCACCUCAGGCUGUUCUUGGCUAGCUGAAGGCCAGGCACCUCAGGCUGUUCUUGGCUAGCUGAAUGCCAGGCACCUCAGGCUGUUCUUGGCUAGCUGAAGGCCAGGCAUCUCAGGCUGUUCUUGGCUAGCUGAAGGCCAGGCAUCUCAGGCUGUUCUUGGCCAGCUGAAGGCCAGGCACCUCAGGCUGUUCUUGGCUAGCUGAAGGCCAGCUGAAGGCCAGGCUCCUCAGGAUGUUCUUGGCUAGCUGAAGGCCAGCUGAAGGCCAGGCAUCUCAGGCUGUUCUUGGCUAGCUGAAGGCCAGGCAUCUCAGGCUGUUCUUGGCUAGCUGAAUGCCAGGCAUCUCAGGCUGUUCUUGGCUAGCUGAAGGUCAGGCAUCUCAGGCUGUUCUUGGCUAGCUGAAGGCCAGGCAUCUCAGGCUGUUCUUGGAUAGCUGAAUGCCAGGCAUCUCAGGCUGUUCUUGGCUAGCUGAAUGCCAGGCAUCUCAGGCUGUUCUUGGCCAGCUGAAUGCCAGGCAUCUCAGGAUGUUCUUGGCUAGCUGAAGGCCAGGCAUCUCAGGCUGUUCUUGGCUAGCUGAAUGCCAGGCAUCUCAGGCUGUUCUUGGCUAGCUGAAUGCCAGGCAUCUCAGGCUGUUCUUGGCUAGCUGAAUGCCAGGCAUCUCAGGCUGUUCUUGGCUAGCUGAAGGCCAGGCAUCUCAGGCUGUUCUUGGCUAGCUGAAUGCCAGGCAUCUCAGGCUGUUCUUGGCUAGCUGAAGGCCAGGCACCAAAAGGCUGAAAUUCCAUUUGUGCAUCAACCUAUCAAUAAUGAGAUAUGAUAAUACGUUGAUCCAUAGUAUUAUUCAAAAGUAACAUAACAUCAACUGGUAAACGCUGAUUGUUCUACGAUUAAGGGGGGAAGCAUUACCUUAUGAGGGUGGUGCCUGGCCUUAAAGCCACAGUCUAAUAAUUCUGUUUGAUUUUCCUUUCUUCUUCUAGCAUGUCCUUACCUUUUCCUUUUAGAUUUUAACUGUAAAGUGUAUUGCAAUUUUAAAUAAAGAUUGAUUUGAUUUGAUAAACAAA